CACCCAGCAGGAAAUAGUCCUUUUCAAUAGAACCCUAGAGUGGAGAAACAGCAUUCUCUAACAGUUAAUGAAAAUGUUCACCAUUAAUUAAUUGGCUGGUCUUAUAUAUUUAAAUUUUCAUAAAUAAAUAAAAAAUAAAAUAUAGGUCAGGCACAGUGGCUCAUGCCUAUAAUCCCAGCACUUUUGGGAGGCCAAGGCGGACGGAUCACGAGGUCAGGAGAUCAAGACCAUCCUGGCUAACAUGGUAAACCCGUCUCUACUAAAAAUACAAAAAAUUAGUGGGGCGUGUAGCACAUGCCUGUAAUCCCAGCUACUCAGGAGGCUGAGGCAGGAGAAUUGCUUGAACCCGGGAGGCGGAGGCUGCAGUGAGCCGAGAUCUUGCCACUGCAUUCCAGCCUGGGCAACAGAGCGAGACUCCACCUCAAAAAUAAAUAAAUAAAUUAAUUAAAUAAAAUACAAUGUAAUGCACAUGUAGUAGGGUUUCUUUCCAUAGGAUGCCUGACAGUGGUUACAUUUUAGUAAGACUAUAUCGGUGUAGGCUAUGAUUAAAAAAUAUAUCAUCUUGGAAUUGUUGCGCCACCCACAUCCUUAUUGGGUAGGGGGUUAAAUAAGUAGCUUCAGUUGUCCUUCAAGAAAGGUAUCAGGAAAGCUCCUAUAGUUUUUUAAUUGCUUUUUUUAAGGGAGUUAGUCACCAAUGAGGACUAGAAGGAUGAUGGCUCUAAACCCUCAAGGUGGUGAAAACUGGAGCCAGCCUCGAUUUAGCACGCCUGAGCACGGAUCCCAGGAGGUAGAUGUGUGUGGAAACAGAAAUACCAGAUCCCAUGAGAAUCAGACACCUAGAGCCUAGCCUGGCAGCACCUGAAGGCCCUUGGAUCAGGGUGACACUGGGGCAGGCUAGAAAGGUCUCACUCUGGCCCAGAUUCUGAUGCUUUGCUGACACCACUGUGCCAGUUCGCCAAUGCUCUAUCUCCAUUUAUGUUACAUCUUCUGCCAAAUAGCUUUGCUGCCUUGCCCCUGAACCACUGCAUGCUCAGCAGCUGGUGCUUCAGCAUCCUGCAGCUGUAGCCCAGAAGUCCUCACUGCCUCAUAUGUUGAGAUGACUGAAUUUGGCCAGGAGUCCUUCCUGUGAGAAAGCCCUGGAGUGUGGGCAGCCCAUCCUAGAAAAUAAACAAAGCAGCUUUCAGCAAUGAGGGACACACAGCCAGUUUUGCUACAUUCACCCUUCUGGCUCUGUCUUCAGCCUAAGCUGCUCCUUUCAGGUCCCUCCCUUGGGACCUCAAGCCUCCCUUUCAGGCCCCUUUUAAGCACAGCAAAUCCUGUAUGCAUUAAGGGGAGGUAGUUGAAGUUUGGGCUUCUGGGUUUUAUGUUAUUACUGGCUUCUGAAAGCUCAAACAUUUGCACUCCAGGGAUGAUAGUUGCAUCUGUUAAAUUUAGUGUAAAGCUGCCUCCUUACAUAUUUUAAGUUAGGCCUAAAGGUUUCCCCAUACAUGGUGAACUGUAGCCUAAUUGGGUAUGUAAACAGACUGUAACCUAUUCUUGUACCAAUCACAGAGUUCUGGCCAAUCACAAGUGGCCAACUGUUCAAACCGUGUUCAAAUAGGGCAAACCUGAGCUACAACCAAUCCAGCUGUUUCUGUCCCUCAAUUAUGUUUUCUGUAAGUCACUUUAUUUUUUCCGACCACUCGGCAAGACUGGAGCCUCUCUGAACUUACUUUGAUUUGGGGUCUUUUUGAUUUGCAGAUCAUUCUUUGGGUUCUUUGCUUGAUUAAACGCUGUUAAGUUUAAUUUGUCUAAGGUUUUUCUUUUAACACACCCCAAACUGUAAGUGGAGGCAUCCUACUU
rnacentral:lncRNA from 1 species